rnacentral:tRNA from 1 species
GGACUGGUUAGCUCUGUCGGUUAGAGCGUGAUGCUGAUAACACCAAGGUCGCAGGUUCGAUCCCUGUUCGGUCCC